GAUUUAAUUCGAUGCAAAGCGAAGAACCUUACCAGGGCUUGACAUGCCGCGAAUCCUCUUGAAAGAGAGGGGUGCCUUCGGGAACGCGGACACAGGUGGUGCACAUCACUGUAGCUGAGGCAUCCUAACAGACCGAUAGACUUGAACCUUGUUCCUAUAUGACCCGAUCAAUUC
rnacentral:ncRNA from 1 species